UUGCGUCACAGCACACACCAAAAAAUUUCAGAAAUAAAUAUACUCUCUUGCAAACGAAUCAGCGCCAAUCUAUAAACAUAGAAGAACCAAUGCUAGAACUAGUAACAAGAACAAGUCUCUUCGCACAACUGUACAUCAGUAACAGAAAACCUACUGAAAAUUAACAGCCAUAAUACUUAACUU
rnacentral:rRNA from 1 species